rnacentral:rRNA from 1 species
CACCUACGGGAGGCUGCAGUAAGGAAUAUUGGUCAAUGGACGAAAGUCUGAACCAGCCAUGCCGCGUGAAGGAUGACGGCCCUCUGGGUUGUAAACUUCUUUUAUCUGGGACGAAAAAAGGUCAUUCUUGAUCACUUGACGGUACCAGAGGAAUAAGCACCGGCUAACUCCGUGCCAGCAGCCGCGGUAAUACGGAGGGUGCAAGCGUUAUCCGGAUUUACUGGGUUUAAAGGGUGCGUAGGUGGGUUUGUAAGUCAGUGGUGAAAUCUUCGAGCUUAACUCGGAAGCUGCCAUUGAUACUAUAGAUCUUGAAUCAUCUGGAGGUGAGCGGAAUAUGUCAUGUAGCGGUGAAAUGCUUAGAUAUGACAUAGAACACCGAUUGCGAAGGCAGCUCACUACGGAUGUAUUGACACUGAGGCACGAAAGCGUGGGGAUCAAACAGGAUUAGAUACCCUGGUAGUCCACGCCCUAAACGAUGGAUACUCGACAUUUGCGAUAUACUGUAAGUGUCUGAGCGAAAGCAUUAA